GACGAACGCUGGCGGCGUGCUUAACACAUGCAAGUCGAACGGAAAGGCCUUUUCGGAGGUACUCGAGUGGCGAACGGGUGAGUAACACGUGGGUGAUCUGCCCUGCACUCUGGGAUAAGCCUGGGAAACUGGGUCUAAUACCGGAUAGGACCGCACUUUAGUGUGUGCGGUGGAAAGUUUUUUCGGUGUAGGAUGAGCCCGCGGCCUAUCAGCUUGUUGGUGGGGUAAUGGCCUACCAAGGCGGCGACGGGUAGCCGGACUGAGAGGUUGGUCGGCCACAUUGGGACUGAGAUACGGCCCAGACUCCUACGGGAGGCAGCAGUGGGGAAUAUUGCACAAUGGGCGCAAGCCUGAUGCAGCGACGCCGCGUGGGGGAGGACGGCCUUCGGGUUGUAAACUCCUUUCGCCAGGGACGAAGCGUUUUGUGACGGUACCUGGAGAAGAAGCACCGGCUAACUACGUG
rnacentral:rRNA from 1 species